AUAUAUAUAUAUAUAUAUAUAUAUAUAUAUAUAUUAGCGUGGAUGGUACCUUUGGGAGACAAUAGGGGGUUUGAGCAGGUAUAUUACGGAGACAAAAUGAAUAGGGAGACAAUUUUGUGUCUCCCUAACGUUUCAGCAUGUAUUUUACGUACUUUCCAAACAGAUCAGCUCAGUUCAACACAUAUCGGUUGCAUCCGUUUUUCCCCGCUUGUUUCAUAGCCUGGUCCAUUAUAUUGAGGGGGUCAAUAAAUUGCAGAUAAUCAAAGGGACAUUUUGUCUCCCUAUAUUUGGCGUAGUUACAAAACUACAUUGUGGAGACUUCAUGUUUUUUCUUAAUUACUAAAAAACUAGGCUCUAUAUUUUCAUUAUAUUACAUGUGGGGGUCUUUUUUUCGUAUUUGUGAGAAACUGACACAGAAUUUAAAAAAAGUUUUGGCUCCAUGUUAAAUAUACACCCCUUUUGGAACAAAAUUUUGUCAAAAAAUCGUGACGUCAUCACCCCCAUAUAUCAGUGCAUACUAAAUGCACGUACAUGCAAUGUGCAUGUGCUGCGCUGUCAUGUCGAUGUACCAGAGGCUACUGAUGAUGUGAUGUCUUCUAUCACAACGAGAUCAGAGGAGCGGACCCCUAUUCGCUGCAAAACAUCCUGCAAGACGAGAAGAGUGCUUCUUAAAAGAUUUUAGUACCAGAUUAUUUUAACAUGUCUACAUGUAUGUACAGGCAAGCGCUAGUUAAUAAUCAUAUCAAUAAUCAUAAACCUGUUGGAGUUAUUCUAACUUCUAAUCAUCAUGAUCUUGAACAAAUCAAACAUUGGUCUUCUGUUUAUCGAUUUGAUUAUGUAGUUUGUUUCUAUGAUGGUGUUUAUUUUAUUUUUUAUUUUAAUGGUUCUGAAUUCUAUACUUAUGAAUACUUUGUAAGAUGUGUUAUGGGGCUAUGGGGGGUAACUUUUUAUUCAUAAAUCAUGAUCCAAGUGUAGGGGCAUAUUGGUAAAUUCAGGGGUUUUUCCCUCAGGGUAUAAUUUUUUUUUUCUUUCUUUU